AUACGUAGGGGGCAAGCGUUGUCCGGAAUUAUUGGGCGUAAAGGGCGUGCAGGCGGCCGUCCAAGUCUGAUGUGAAAGUGCGGGGCUUAACCCCGUAAAGCAUUGGAAACUGGGCGGCUUGAGUGCAGGAGAGGAAAGUGGAAUUCCUAGUGUAGCGGUGAAAUGCGUAGAGAUUAGGAAGAACACCAGUGGCGAAGGCGACUUUCUGGACUGUAACUGACGCUGAGGCGCGAAAGCGUGGGGAGCGAACAGGAUUAGAUACCCUGGUAGUCCACGCCGUAAACGAUGAGUGCUAGGUGUAGAGGGUAUCGACCCCCUCUGUGCCGCAGUUAACACAAUAAGCACUCCGCCUGGGGAGUACGACCGCAAGGUUGAA
rnacentral:rRNA from 1 species